rnacentral:rRNA from 1 species
UACGUAGGGACCAAGCGUUGUUCGGAUUUACUGGGCGUAAAGGGCGCGUAGGCGGCAAUUCAAGUCAGCUGUGAAAUCUCCGGGCUUAACUCGGAACGGUCAGCUGAUACUGCUUUGCUAGAGUGCAGAAGGGGCAAUCGGAAUUCUUGGUGUAGCGGUGAAGUGCGUAGAUAUCAAGAGGAACACCUGAGGUGAAGACGGGUUGCUGGGCUGACACUGACGCUGAGGCGCGAAAGCUAGGGUAGCAAACGGG